rnacentral:rRNA from 1 species
UACAGAGGGUGCAAGCGUUAAUCGGAAUUACUGGGCGUAAAGCGUGCGUAGACGGUUAUGUAAGUCAGAUGUGAAAGCCCCGGGCUCAACCUGGGAACUGCAUUUGAGACUGCUCUGCUCGGGUGCGGAAGAGGGAAGCGGAAUUUCCGGUGUAGCGGUGAAAUGCGUAGAUAUCGGAAGGAACACCAGUGGCGAAAGCGGCUUCCUGGUCCGACACCGACGUUCAGGCACGAAAGCGUGGGGAGCAAACAGG